rnacentral:tRNA from 1 species
GGAUGUAGCUCAGUGGUAGAGCAGUUAUCUAUUACAUGGAAGGCCCUGGGUUUAAUCCCCAGUAUUGCU